CCCCCCCCCCCCGCCUCCCCAAACUCACCUCAGUUGCCAACAGCCUCCUGGUGCCUGUUGGACCAUCCCUUGCUGGUUCUUCAUUUCCUGUGGGCCUAGUUUCCAGGGGCUGAGUGACCAGGGUCUUAAAACAGGUUUAAGGCUUGGCUUGCUGGCCCUGGAGAUCCCGUCGCCGUCUUCGUCGAACUCGAAAUCCUAGCCAUCGUCCUUCCCUGGCCUGUCGCGUCUUCCUGUGCCAUUUGCUGUUGUGCUCAGGUUCCACGAGCUGCCCAUCUCCACAGAAGAGCAGCUGGCAUUGCCCACCGGCCAUGCCGGCUGAAGAAAAGAAGACUGAGGACCCCAGGAUGCCCAGCGCGAGGACCCCAGGAAGCCCAGCGCGAGGACUCCACCCACGACGCCCAGCGCGAGGACUUCACGCACAACACGUUGCAACCCUCCUGGAUUAGGCCAAAGCCAUCAUCUGGAAUCCUGCGUGGGACCCUGGACACACGGACACAGACACCUGCCCCCAGGACCCUCCAACUGUAAAUCGAUUGGAAGCGCCCUUGUGAGCUGGGGCCUUCAAAGGGCUGAGGAGAAAAUGCAGGCCGAGAGACCAGCUUCUCAAAUAGGCUUCAAGCCUCCAUGACCUGAGCUCACCCCCUGGAAAUGUCUGGAAAACAUAAUGGGCAGGUUUUCUGUCUUCAAAGUUUCCA
rnacentral:lncRNA from 1 species